UAUUAAAAAAAAUUAAGUGGUUAAUUGUUAAUAAAAUUAAAAUAGUAUAUUUAUAGUUAUUGUCCUUUUUAUCAUUUUGCUCCUUUUAAACAACAAUUUUAACCAAACACAUAACAAACAACUUUUUUUUAUUAAUAAUAGCUUUCUAUUUUAUUACCGAACAGAUAAACUAUUUUUUCAAAAAAGCAGUUUUAUGAUUAGCGGUUUCAAAUCAGUAUCAGCAGAAUAGAACAACAAUGCCAAACAGACCCUUGAUCUAUCAAAGAUUAGAAACCUCAUACUUCUCAUGUUUGUUUGCUUUAUAGGCAAGGAAACUAAGCAAUACAAAAUAAAGAAAAUCAAACACUGUAAUAGCCAAGUCUUUUAUAAAAUAAAGCAAAAAUCAAUGAAUGCAAUCAUUUCAACUAAAUGGUUUCUGCAAUAGGCAAAAACAUCCCAUUACUACGUGUUUGCUGCAUAUUAAUACACAUAGAUAGCCAGUUAAGCAUAUUAUGAGCUCAAUUAUGAUAAUCAAUAGAAUAAUAUUAGCUCGCACUUGUUCUUAGUUUAGGACAUCACAACCACAAACAAUGAAACAAGUAGUGUUUCCCAUAAAUCACAUACUAUAUAUGGUUCAUACAUCAAUUAUUUAAGUAGAAAAUGCCACAUAAAUCUUCACAAUCAUAUUCACUAAUAGCAUUCCGACAAUCAAUUGCCCAAAAAUGAAGUAAACCACUUACAUUCCAGACCUUAAACCUUUCAAUCUAAAUGCAGGAACAUAGUUGGCAUUUUCCAAGAGAUCAUACCAAAAAUGCAACUAUAGUGUUGUAUUGAAAACAUAGAAUACAAAAUUUUAAAGUUUAGGAAUGAAACAGCUCUAAACUUAAUAUUCUAAAUAGCAACUACUAAAUCGGCAAUUCACCAUAGAAAAAUAAGUAGAAGAUUGGUAUAUUCCUAUCUCAUAAUGAAAAAGGGAUCACAAAUGUUUAAAACUUCAGUAUUCCAUAUGGGUAAAAGAACUGAAUCACAAGCAGUUAGAAGCUACCAAGAGCAUUUCCAAAACCCACAGGCAGCUGCCAAAUGAUUAUUUCAUCAACAUUAAAACACUAGACCAUUUUGGUUUAAACAUUACAUUAUUCAUUUUUUCCCCUCUCUGCAAAGUACUUUUCUUUCAGCUGGCUUGAGUAUUUAAGAAGAAUUAAUCUAGCAGAGGAUGUUGAGUUUUGAAUUAGUAAUAACUAAUCCAGCCAUUCAAUCUUUACACAGGUGAGCAUUACGUAUGAGAUAGGGGGCUAACGCUGAUAGCACAAAUUAGCUCUUCUCUAAUAUUUGAUUGACAGGUUAUUUGAUCCUCUAUUGCAAUAAUCUGACUGAACGUUAAUAGUUUGAUAGCUAUUUUCUGAUAAAUUUUAGCAUUCUAAUGCAUAAAUUCAACCGGAUCAGUGUAUCUUAAACAUGCAAUACCAGAAGUCCAAAUGCUGAGAUAUGUAAGACUCGUUACACAGAAAAUAACCCAAAAACAGAAUGCAGAUAAAAAUAAUUCCACAGGUUACAAAGUUGCUUAUCAGUAACGAUAUUCUAUGUGAAACAAGUAGCAAAAAUCAUAUAAGUACUUGUGGAUAUAAAACUACAUACCAAAAUAGCAAAACUUUUCACUAAGAAAAGAUAACAAACAUUUGAACUUACAUCAUUAGACGGCAAUAAUAAGUCCCCUCCAUUGGAGUCCUUCGAUGAGCCGAACUCGGAGUGGGAAGUUUUCGCUUUCUUCUUUGAACCCACAUCUCCAUUUCCAGAUUCUAAGUGAUUUCCCUUCCUUUUCUUGGUGCCAACACUCCACGACUUUCCUUUCUUGUCUCGAACUUUCCAUAUAUUCUUCCUCCUAAACACCAACUUGUCAAACUUCCACACCUCAAAGCUCGUAUCGAUAACUGUCACUUCACUUCUCGAGUACCCUUUUAGCUCUCUAUCACUACCGCCGCUACCUCCACCACCGGCUUUCUCCUUCUCCUCAUCCACAUCGUCAUCCCAAUUCGCAUUUGCCCCAAUAUUCGAAUUAUUAUCAGAGUGCAACGACACCGUUGCGGCCUGGACAUAUUCGUCUUUUCCGAUGGAGUCGAUGUCAUUUGCAGAAGUCGGAGUAGACACGUCGCAAAACUUAGGGUUUGUUUGUUUCCUGGUACUUUUUUUCCCAGAAAAUCUCGAAAUUUUCUCGUUGAGUUCCCCCAUGUUGAAAAGGUCACAGAGAACAUUGGUCAUUGCACCGAACCAUUGCUUGUCUCCACUCUCGCUUGAAGUCUCCGCGGCGUGGCUACUAUGAGCAGUGACUCGUUUAUUAUCAGACUGGGUCGACUCGGAGUUGGAGUUUAUUAAGGAAUUAGAGGGAUUGGCAAGUGGAGAAUCGGAAAAGGAAUUGUGGUGGUUGGUGAGGAAGCGGUCGAGGUCGAGAUCGUCGGCGGCCGGGAAGCCUUUGUUGGAGCGGAGCCGGUCCAGCCAGUUUGAACCGGACUUGCCAGUCGGGAUCGAACAGAGCAUUGGAAGAGGUGGAGCAAAAUGAUUGGAUGAUGAAAUGAAUUGGAGAAUUUCCUUUUCUUUUAUUGAGUUAGCAACUACACCGCCGAGGAGAGAGGAGAGUGCAGAGGCAGUCAAAG
rnacentral:misc_RNA from 1 species